GAUGAACGCUGGCGGCGUGCCUAAUACAUGCAAGUCGAGCGAACAGACGAGGAGCUUGCUCCUCUGACGUUAGCGGCGGACGGGUGAGUAACACGUGGAUAACCUACCUAUAAGACUGGGAUAACUUCGGGAAACCGGAGCUAAUACCGGAUAAUAUAUUGAACCGCAUGGUUCAAUAGUGAAAGACGGUUUUGCUGUCACUUAUAGAUGGAUCCGCGCCGCAUUAGCUAGUUGGUAAGGUAACGGCUUACCAAGGCAACGAUGCGUAGCCGACCUGAAAGGGUGAUCGGACACACUGGAACUGAGACACGGUCCAGACUCCGACGGGAGGCAGCAGUAGGGAAUCUUCCGCAAUGGGCGAAAGCCUGACGGAGCAACGCCGCGUGAGUGAUGAAGGUCUUCGGAUCGUAAAACUCUGUUAUUAGGGAAGAACAAAUGUGUAAGUAACUAUGCACGUCUUGACGGUACCUAAUCAGAAAGCCACGGCUAACUACGUG
rnacentral:rRNA from 1 species